rnacentral:misc_RNA from 1 species
UUUCCGUAGGUGAACCUGCGGAAGGAUCAUUCAUAAUAAGUGUUUUAUGGCACUUUUUUAAAUCCAUAUCCACCUUGUGUGCAAUGUCAGGGUUGAUUUUUCUCUCGAGAGGUUCAGCCCCAAACAUCAACUAUAUCUCAACUCUUUGUCUGAAAAAUAUUAUGAAUAAAACAAUUCAAAAUACAACUUUCAACAACGGAUCUCUUGGCUCUC